rnacentral:lncRNA from 1 species
CAUUCCCUGGGGAGGUGGUCCCAGCCUGGAGUGGUCUCACCCUUCACCAAGAUGUGCCCAGAGCCUAUCAAUUUCAGUUCUUAAAAGCGUCCGGCUGAGACUACUGACCUCGAACGCUGACAACCUAAGGAAACGCCCAUGAGACAGCAAACCACGUGACUCCUUUCCCUGUUCAGGAGUUUUACCCUCAGAACCAAGCUACGAUGAUGUGAAGAGGUCAAGCAGCCAUGUGAAAAGGCCACAUUUAGGUGUUCCAAGCACAGCCCUAGUUAUCUAACCAGCCAGCAGUCAUCAUCAAUCACUAGAUGUUAGUGGAUAACAGAACAAGAACUAAUACGUGAUCUUAGCAAAGUAACAGAUUACAAGGUCAACAUACAAAAAUCAAUUGGAUUUACAUAUAUACUAGCAGCAAACUGUUGUUACAACGAUUUUUUAGAUCACAAUCAUUUGAAGUUUUUGCCCUUAUGGAAAUAAUCAAAAUUAUACAGUCAUAUAUGGAUUACAAUAGUCUGGACAGAAAUUGUAGCAACAGACAACACUUUGCAGGAUUGAGGUCAAGAUGGUGCGUAGGCAGACUCUGAACUCAUCUCCUCCCAUGGACAUAACAAAUUUAGAACCACUCUUGGAACAAUUGCUCCUGAAAGAGAACUGAAAACUGGAUAAAAAGAAUGCCCACAAGAAGGGACAGUGCCAACUGAGGUGGAAGAAGCAGAAAUUCCCCUCUGGAGAGAAAAAAGCCACCUUUCAACCACAGCACUUCAUGUUUGGGAGCAAUUCUAAAGAACGAAGGCAUCCCUGGAGGAACAGGGGAUCUGAGUGGGGGAGUGCUACUGCUAUAAGCCACUUAUAGACUCUGCACAACUGAGACAAGUGUCAUAAUAUCAGCAUAGAUUUAAUCCAGCUCAGCCAGGGCAGGCAGCCCACCCUAGGGUCUGGCCUCACUCAACAGAAGCCCUCAGGCAACAUGUAAACCCAUAUAGGCAGGGUGCUGGAACCUCUGAAGCCAGGCAAAUGGGUCUGCCUCUGUGGGGAAGGGCAUGUACGAGGAGCCAGUGGACCAUGUGGGGCCUUGGUGGGGUAUGGGCCCUAUGCAGUGGGAUGACUGGAUCUGCUUCAGUGGGUUGGAGUGUGUGUGUGGGGCAGGACUGUGUUGAUGGGGUGUGUGGCCCUGUGGGGGGUGGGGCUUCUCAGCUGCAGCAGACUUAUGCUUCAUAAAUAGUCACAUAGGGGAUUGACCCCACCUCCAAAGCCUGAAACAAUUAGAUGUCCCCAUGCCUGGGGCUGGCCCACCCAGCUGAACUACUGAGAGAGCUGACAACUGCCUUGCAAGACAGAGGCCUACAGCAAUUGUGAGCCCCUGAUCCUAGCAACCAGUGACACUGGGGGCCUACUCAACAGAAAAAAAAUGAAGCAGGAAAGAGCUAUUAGACCUUGCAGCCCACUGUGCUAGGGCUUUCCCCACCCAAUAAAGUGACUGAAGGGACCAUAGCAAAUGCAUACAGCUGAGCCUUAAAACCAGCCAGGCAGGGGGAGCCUAGCCUCUCCAUGCACCUGCAGUAAGAGCAACCCCACCACAACACACAUAGCCCACACUGGGGACACUCCUGGAACAUUUGGAACUGGUGACAAGAAGGAAGCACACCCCUGGGCCUCAU